UUACCACUUCUUUUGGGUCAAACAUCUUUACUAUACUCUGGGAGAUGUGAUUUGCUCAGUUCUGCAAAUUUGAGCAACACAGAUUUUUUGUUGAUCGUGCCAUAUAUGUUUAAGUUCUGCCAGGUCCUACCAGUUGGAAAAGAAUUACUGUCUUGUCUUACCUGUUUUAAAGAACUAGGUUCUUGCAAUGAAGGUCGAAGUGCUUUGCUGACUUCAUUACGUGAUGUCAAGACCAGCAGUGAGGAACUUAGAUCAGAAAGUGUGCAUGAAAGGAAUGGGAACUAUAAUCUUGAUGAUUUUGAAAGGAAAAAGUAUCCUCCUUUGCUUUAUUGCUGGAAAAAAUUGAUGAAAUCAAUUGAUUCAAAGGAUGCUUUGUCAGCUUGUGCAAUUGAGGCUGUUAAUGAAUUAUUUAUAGGUUCAUUGUGCUUUUGCAUGGAUGGUAAAAGUCUGAAUUCAAAUUCUGUGGAUGCAAUAAAACGUCUAUUUGGGCUUCAAGAUGAUAUGGAUGGGACAGAUGGUUCUUUAGAAAAUAUGACUUUAAUACGGGAG
rnacentral:misc_RNA from 1 species